rnacentral:misc_RNA from 1 species
GAUGAAGAACGUAGCGAAAUGCGAUAAGUAAUGUGAAUUGCAGAAUUCAGUGAAUCAUCGAAUCUUUGAACGCACAUUGCGCCCGCCAGUAUUCUGGCGGGCAUGCCUGUUCGAGCGUCAUUACAACCCUCAGGCCCCCGGGCCUGGCGUUGGGGAUCGGCGGAGCCCCCCGUGGGCACACGCCGUCCCCCAAAUGCAGUGGCGGUCCCGCCGCAGCUUCCAUCGCGUAGUAGCUAACACCUCGCGACUGGAGAGCGGCGCGGCCACGCCGUAAAACACCCAACUCUUCUGAAGUUGACCUCGAAUCAGGUAGGAAUACCCGCUGAACUUAAGCAUAUCAAUAAGAGGAGGA